GACAGAGAGCAUCUCAGGGUAGAAGGAGAAGAAAGAUGGUGGCAGUCAGCAAGACUAUCUAUCCAUUGAAUAGAUGCUUACCAGCUUGGAGGUCUUUUCAGAAUAUGCUUAGGCAGUCGUACAUUGGGUACAGGGAAGAGCCCAUAAGUACUGUCUGGAGCUUACUUGUCAAAUGGUGCUUGGUCUGCAGAGAUGGAUGGAUGGAUGCUUUUCUCUCUCUCUUCCUUACAGCUCUGCCAACUUUCAAGUCUUUUUGAAGGAUAGUGGCACACACCAGUUCUGCUUGGAAGCUGAUGGUAAGUUCCAGGAAUCCUGUUUCUGUCUCCAGUAACAGAGUUAUAGGAGCUCACCUCCCCAUCAGGCUUCUUGUGUAAAGACCAGUUGACCUUGUCAGUGAAUGAGUGCCAGAGGAGUCCAAGAAGCUCACACACUGUAGGACAUACUUGGAAAAGAGAAUUGUCCUCUUAAAAUGAUGCACGAGGAGGCCGAGUGCCAGAUGCUUUGACAUUUGGGGAAGAAACAGUUUGCAGACAUCCUGGCCUGGAGCAAUGCCUGCUUCUGCCUGAAUACUCACUCACCCAGGACUGCA
rnacentral:lncRNA from 1 species